UACGAAGGGUGCAAGCGUUAAUCGGAAUUACUGGGCGUAAAGCGUGCGUAGGCGGUUGGCUAAGUCAGAUGUGAAAGCCCUGGGCUCAACCUGGGAAUGGCAUUUGAAACUGGCCGGCUAGAGUGUGAUAGAGGAUGGCGGAAUUCCCUGUGUAGCGGUGAAAUGCGUAGAGAUGGGGGAGAACACUCGUGGCGAAGGCGGCCAGCUAGACCAGUUCUGACACUGAGGCGCGACAGCGUGGGGAGCAAACAGG
rnacentral:rRNA from 1 species